rnacentral:lncRNA from 7 species
AAAUGCAUUUAUUUUCUUCCUGACAUCCACCUCACCUCAACCUCUGGAUGAUCUUGAAGUUUAUUAGAUUAAAUGCCUGCUCUCACAGAAGUGCUUACUUUUGAAAUUUAUCUCUGGACUUCAGUGGUCAGUAUAUGAACUGCUGUUAAGUGAAGCAUCUCCCUUCUGGAAGAAGCAAACAGGAAAUUAAGAAUGGUUUCCAGAGUUGUGCAACGGUCAUCAAAGAUUUCGGGGAAUUUCACCAGUGGAAUCUUCAGUAUUUUUCAUCAGAAUGAUUGAAGAUUAAUUACGGCGGAAGUUUCUGCUUUUGAAUCGCUGUUUAGGACCAUUCAUCUGGUCCUGAAAGAGCCUUCAAGCUCUGAAGGUUGGAGUGGCCGUAGCCAUGGAAAGAACCCAAAAGCAUGGAAAGAACCAAAAAGCACUGUGCGUUGUUUUCAUCGAAGUCACGUGGCAAUUUCAUUAAAUCAAAAGAAAUAACUCAAAGGAAGAAGAGAUGGAAUUGCCAGGUUGCCCACUUGUGUGCUGUGACAUCCCCCAGCCUGUUCCAUGAAGCCCAUACAACACGACUUCACCAGAGCCCAGGGAAGGAAACACGGCACUUGAGAUGUGGCAUAAGCACCGGCCAGGGUGGCUUGGGCUGUUCCUCUGCAUGCUUCACAGCUGCAGGAGUGCACAGAAGAGUUCUGCUUCAGGACUUUUCAGUGAAUUGACAUCUUCGUAGCUGCAGAACUGUUAUGGCCCUCCAAGGUGGCUCGCAGGCGCUUGCACGUGGCCCUCGUUGUUUUCCCAACAUCAUCCUGUUGCGAAGCAUCAAAGCGCAGUUGAUCCUGGUGCUGAAAACACAGCCACACAGUUCUGCAAAGGGAGAUGUAUUUCAAAAUAAUGCAAAAGGACUCACAUCUGUGAUCUCUGUGUUCCAGCGGCCCGUGCUGCUGACCCCUCUGGUCACCGAAGCCUUCUCUAUGCACUUGCAGAUGACACGCUCCAUUUGGAGGGAGGAGUGCAGGAUGCUUUCCAUGUACUGUAAGAACCGUCUGCCGUGGGAUUUCUGUGAAUUUCAGAGAUGAGAGGACGUAGCACAGCAAAAUAAAGUCUGAGCACU